rnacentral:rRNA from 1 species
UCUCAGUUCGGAUUGUAGUCUGCAACUCGACUACAUGAAGCUGGAUUCGCUAGUAAUCGCGCAUCAGCCAUGGCGCGGUGAAUACGUUCCCGGGCCUUGUACACACCGCCCGUCAAGCCAUGGAAGCCGGGGGCGCUUGAAGUGCGUUGCCGCAAGGCGCGCCCUAGAGCGAAACCGGUGACUGGGGCUAAGUCGUAACAAGGUAUC